rnacentral:rRNA from 1 species
UACGUAGGGAGCAAGCGUUGUCCGGAAUCAUUGGGCGUAAAGCGCGCGUAGGUGGUCCCGUAAGUCCGCUGUGAAAGUCAAAGGCUCAACCUUUGAAAGCCGGUGGAUACUGUGGGACUAGAGUACGGAAGAGGCGAGUGGAAUUCCUGGUGUAGCGGUGGAAUGCGCAGAUAUCAGGAGGAACACCAAUAGCGAAGGCAGCUCGCUGGGACGUUACUGACACUGAGGCGCGAA